CACUAUGAAGCUAAUUCGGAACUAAAUGCGAGUUGUUUGCGCGAACUAAUGCAGUUUGGAUUGUUUUCUUCGCAGCAGGUUUUUGAACCAAAUUGAGCUUGAUUGGUGACCUUGGGGACUGGUUUAGAAGGUGUUCUAACCUGAGCGAGAGUGCAAUCGACCCUUGGAUUGUCUUCGGCUAGCUUGAGAGAGCCCUUGGAGAGUUAUUUUGAGGAUUGGGGCUUCGUUGAGCUGAAUAUUGGUACUUCUUGUGACUGAUCUGAGCCUAGUA